CCGUGACUCACUGGAGAUAUGCUUCAACAGAGCUGCAAAAAUGACAAUAAUAAUGGCUUCCAUUUUCAUGGCACCUCUCAAGAGAAGGCAGAGAGAGGUUACGGCUGGGUCAGGCAGGACGCAGCUGACAACUCAGCAAGAAGAAGACAUCUACCGAGACAAUUCCUAGAAACAACACGCCUCACCGCUGCCUCACACUCUCGAUGGAACGACAAGCAAACAUCACGUUUCCUGUUUUUAUCACAGAGACAAAGAGUGGUUGCUGAUUGCUUAAAUUCUUUUUCCUAUAUUGCCAUAUAAGUAUGUAGUAACACCUUGUGCUUUUUUUUUUUACGAGGCAAAGCCCACAUGCUUUCCCCCUUCCCUCAGGGGCUUGUGUCUCACACUGUGGGUGAGACAAAUCCAAAUAAAAAGAGCAGGAGUGCAUACAGA